CAGAAUUAUAUUUCUUCAUUUUUCUAACAACCAUACAAAUGGUAAGCAAUCUAGAAAACACAGUCGUAUGUCAAUUUUAUUUAAUAACGAAAGUAACAUAUUCGUUUUUUCUUUGUCGACAUAAACAUAUUCUACUACCCUUUUUUUUUUUUUAAAUUCUCAAAAUAUCUUUGCUCUUUUUCUUUCAUAAUAAUUCUCUACAGCUACCCCUAAUUAGAUGGUCUCGUUGUGAUGUGAUAAUAAAAACAAAAGAGUAAACAGUGGUAAUGAGUACAUAUGAUGAAGAAAGGAAACAGCACACGUGCG
rnacentral:lncRNA from 1 species